rnacentral:rRNA from 1 species
GAUCAUGGCUCAGGAUGAACGCUAGCUACAGGCUUAACACAUGCAAGUCGAGGGGCAGCAUGGACCCAGCUUUGCUGGGUUUGAUGGCGACCGGCGCACGGGUGAGUAACGCGUAUCCAACCUGCCCUUUACUCCGGGAUAGUCUCCUGAAAGGGAGUUUAAUACCGGAUGUGUUUGUCUUUCCGCAUGGGAGCGACAAAUAAAGAUCAAUUGGUAGAGAGUGGGAUGCCGUCCUAGUUAGU